GACAGAGGGUGCAAACGUUGUUCGGAAUUACUGGGCGUAAAGCGUGUGUAGGCGGCCACGUAAGUCGGAUGUGAAAGCCCCGGGCUCAACCCGGGAAGUGCACUCGAUACUGCGUGGCUUGAGUACUGGAGAGGUUGGUGGAAUUCUCGGUGUAGAGGUGAAAUUCGUAGAUAUCGAGAGGAACACCGGUGGCGAAGGCGGCCAACUGGACAGAUACUGACACUGAGACACGAAAGCGUGGGGAGCAAACAGG
rnacentral:rRNA from 1 species